rnacentral:lncRNA from 1 species
GAGUUUGAUCGGAAUGUGCACUUACUAACUUUGCAGAGAGCCACGUUGGCGGCCGACAACGUGACAUCGGAAGUUAGUACGCGUUAUAUUUCAUUACUUUCGCUUAAUUAGUUGGUUUAUAUCCUCUAAGAGGGUUCAAUAGUAUAGGGUUUAUUAACCUAUGUUUGUUUUUGUGUUGCAGUUCAAGAUGCCUACGACUCGUUCUGGAACUGCCGGGGCGGCUGAGGCAGCCGCUGCGGAAGAAGUUGAGACUUCCGUCACUUCGGGGUCCAGUGAGCUCCAUGAGUUGCAGGAUCAGCUUGCGACGUUGACAGAGUUGGUUACUCAGCAGGCCGCGGCAGCACGACAGCAGAUGGACGCUGCGCGUCGGCAGGAGGACAGGAUGAAGAGGUUAGAGGAUCUGUUACUGCGGCAGACGACCGACAGAGAGAUUCCAGNN